GGCUAUUGCUUCACUUAUAUAGGUGGGUGAUUCUCUGGGUGAAGAAUCAAUGUGGGAGUGACCAACAUUGGUUUCAUGUGAUGUUCUAUUCUCCACCAUAUCUCCAACUCCAAACCCAUCACCAUCGCCCUUGAUCAUGUUUCCACAUCCACCACAGCCACCACUCUUCACCAUGCUUCCACAUCCACCACAGCCACCACUCUUCACCAUGCUUCCACAUCCACCACAGCCGCCACUCUUCACCAUGCUUCCACAUCCACCACAACCACCACCACCGCAGCCUCCACAACCACCUCCACAGCCUCCACUCUUUACCAUGUUCCCGCAUCCACCACCACAGCCGCCACCACAGCCUCCACUUUUUACCAUGUUCCCGCAUCCACCACCACAGCCGCCACCACAGCCUCCACACUUUGAUGCCUCCACAUCCAACACCAGUUUACGUUCUAUAGAAGUAGACUGCUUGAUUUGUUUGGCUUCCACAUGGAACCCAUUAACCUUUUCCACAUUACCAUCCAACUCCUCCAAAUUUUCACCAUUAACCAUGAAGCCUCCAUACCCUUUAUUGUUA
rnacentral:lncRNA from 1 species